rnacentral:lncRNA from 15 species
CUUUUUCUUAAAGUCUGUUUUAAACAACAGUCUGUUGCCCAUAUGAAUAUAUAUUGAAAUGUGUUUUACUUGCUGUAAUCACUCCUCCUGUUUAUAGUGGCCCUUAGGAGAUCAGUUUCUAAUGUGCAUCCAACGUAAGAGAUGGUGGACAAACUGUUCAGUCCUCAUUCUGUGUAAAAAUCUAUUCUGAAAUUAUUAUCUGAAGCUAAUAUGAGACUUGAGCAGUCUGAGUUCAUUCAGUCCAUCCAGUUCCAUUUUUGUGUUUCCUUGUUGAUAUUAUGGUUUGGUUUAUUAUGUCUAUGUUGUUGUGUUUUUCUUUUUGUCCUCUCUCUGUCCCCCCUCCCUGUUCUGUUCUCUCACAGAGCUUGUGUGGGGCAGGGGGUGUGGCUGGCUCCUCCUGUUGGCAGCAGAGGCACACCUGUAGUCACUCAGCCAAUUCCCUCCACCUCAUUAGCCCGGUCUCCCCUCCUGCUUGCUGCCAGAAGAUUCCAUGCUCAAACCCUGCAUGCUGUUCUCCUACGUACCCGUGUCUAGUUUUUCGCCUGUGCUAUUCUGCUGAAGCCGUCCACCUGCCAGCCAGCUCCCUGCCUCUCCGGCCCGCUUCUGUUCCAGUUUUGUUUUGGAUUACUAUAAAAGUAUCUUCAGUUCCCACUCACCACCUCAACAGGAUUCUUGCCAGACAAGAAAGCAAACAACAGACGUCGCCGCUAUCAGCAGUUGGCUUGUUGUUUGGGGGUUCUUUGUGUCAUUUUGCUGUUGGGCGUCAUAGCAGUCUGCGUCUACCGUAAGUAUACAGAACAGGAAGUCCGUGCAUUAACUCUAUUAUCUAUAGGCAGUUUGUUUUAUUCACAUAAUCUGCCUCAAAUUGUUUUUUUUAUCUUUUAGGAACAGAGUUAAUUUCUAGAAACAAAAUCUGAUGUAGAAAUGUCUGCAGAGAGUAAAGGAUUCAUAAGACAGGGUUCUUAUUUACAUGAUUUCUAUUUUCAAUGUUCAACCAUUUAUUUAUUCUUGGAGAAGCC